rnacentral:rRNA from 1 species
AUUGAACGCUGGCGGCAUGCUUUACACAUGCAAGUCGAACGGUAACAGGCCUUCGGGUGCUGACGAGUGGCGAACGGGUGCGUAAUGCAUCGGAACGUACCCAGAGUUGGGGGAUAACGCAGCGAAAGCUGUGCUAAUACCGCAUGUGAUCUGAGGAUGAAAGCGGGGGACCGAGCAGCAAUGUUUGGCCUCGCGCCUUUGGAGCGGCCGAUGUCGGAUUAGCUAGUUGGUGGGGUAAAGGCCUACCAAGGCGACGAUCCGUAGCUGGUCUGAGAGGACGACCAGCCACACUGGGACUGAGACACGGCCCAGACUCCUACGGGAGGCAGCAGUGGGGAAUUUUGGACAAUGGGCGCAAGCCUGAUCCAGCAAUGCCGCGUGCGGGAAGAAGGCCUUCGGGUUGUAAACCGCUUUUGGCAGGAACGAAACGGUGUCCGCUAAUACCGGGCGCUAAUGACGGUACCUGCAGAAUAAGCACCGGCUAACUACGUG